GCAUUGCUGAAGAGUCCUAAAAUAAGACGAAACGGCUGUCCAGUGC
rfam:Schistosoma haematobium C9745816_1, whole genome shotgun sequence.